CCCAGGCGGUGAGGUGGAGGGAGUCACAGGGUUGGUGCACACACUCCGACCCGAUGGAUCUGGGACCAGAAGGAGGGGCAGUGCUCCUUGGCUGAGCUCAGC